rnacentral:rRNA from 1 species
AGGGUUCGAUCAUGGCUCAGGAUGAACGCUGGCGGCGUGCUUAACACAUGCAAGUCGAACGAACCUUCGGGUUAGUGGCGGACGGGUGAGUAACGCGUGAGAAUCUGCCCUCAGGAGGGGGAUAACGGUUGGAAACGACCGCUAAUACCCCAUAUGCCUACUGGUGAAAUGAAUUUCGCCUGAGGAUGAGCUCGCGUCUGAUUAGCUAGUUGGUGAGGUAAUGGCUCACCAAGGCUUCGAUCAGUAGCUGGUCUGAGAGGAUGAUCAGCCACACUGGGACUGAGACACGGCCCAGACUCCUACGGGAGGCAGCAGUGGGGAAUUUUCCGCAAUGGGCGAAAGCCUGACGGAGCAACGCCGCGUGAGGGACGAAGGCCUCUGGGCUGUAAACCUCUUUUCUCAAGGAAGAAGAUAUGACGGUACUUGAGGAAUAAGCCACGGCUAAUUCCGUGCCAGCCGCCGCGGUAAUAC